rnacentral:rRNA from 1 species
AGAAACCAACAGGGAUUGCCUCAGUAACGGCGAGUGAAGCGGCAACAGCUCAAAUUUGAAAUCUGGCCCCAGGCCCGAGUUGUAAUUUGCAGAGGAUGCUUUUGGUGAGGUGCCUUCCGAGUUCCCUGGAACGGGACGCCAUAGAGGGUGAGAGCCCCGUCUGGUCGGACACCGAGCCUCUGUAAAGCUCCUUCGACGAGUCGAGUAGUUUGGGAAUGCUGCUCUAAAUGGGAGGUAUAUGUCUUCUAAAGCUAAAUACCGGCCAGAGACCGAUAGCGCACAAGUAGAGUGAUCGAAAGAUGAAAAGCACUUUGAAAAGAGAGUUAAAUAGCACGUGAAAUUGUUGAAAGGGAAGCGUUUAUGACCAGACUUGGCCCGGUUGAUCAUCCAGCGUUCUCGCUGGUGCACUCUGCCGGUCCAGGCCAGCAUCAGUUCGUCGCGGGGGAUAAAGGUUUCGGGAAUGUGGCUCCUCCGGGAGUGUUAUAGCCCGUUGCGUAAUACCCUGCGGUGGACUGAGGUCCGCGCUUCUGCAAGGAUGCUGGCGUAAUGGUCAUCAACGACCCGUCUUGAAACACGGACCAAGGAGUCGUCCUCGUAUGCGAGUGUUCGGGUGUAAAACCCCUACGCGUAAUGAAAGUGAACGCAGGUGAGAGCUUCGGCGCAUCAUCGACCGAUCCUGAUGUUCUCGGAUGGAUUUGAGUAAGAGCAUACGGGGCCGGACCCGAAAGAAGGUGAACUAUGCCUGUAUAGGGUGAAGCCAGAGGAAACUCUGGUGGAGGCUCGCAGCGGUUCUGACGUGCAAAUCGAUCGUCAAAUAUGGGCAUGGGGGCGAAAGACUAAUCGAACC